rnacentral:piRNA from 1 species
GAGGCAAAGAAUGAACUGAAACGG